ACCCAGCCUCCACAGCCCAGCCCUGUCUCCACAGCCCAGCCCUGUCUCUUUACCCCUCUUCCUUGGCCCUCCUUUGCCUGCAGUGGGGAGCAAAACCACAACCAGCCUAUGUGGGGCUGAGCAGGGAGCUGACGGAGGACCCUGGCCCAGCCCCUGCUCAAGCCCCAGCCCAGAGCUUAGAGGGGAGUGAGGUGCCAAGCUACACUGAGAGCUUAGCUCAUUGCCUGGGGCUGCAUUGGCAGAGGUUCCUUGUCUAGAAAUACUCGUGAGCCACCCCUUUCAAUGCAGGGCAGGGAAGUGGGUCCCACAGGAGGAGGCUGAAAGGGCAAGGGGAGAUGUGGUUACCACAGUGACAGCCUCCUGGGGCCAACAUCCCCUCCCAGUUCAUUCCCUUUGGAGGGACCACAUCACCUCCCCAGAUGCCCCAGAGACAUGGACAUAAGGUGAUUAUAUCAGAAACCGGGAUCUCUCCAGCAAUAGGCAUCUCUCUCGGUGUGACUUCCUCAGAGCCAAGGUUUUCUGGAAGCUGAGAGUGUCUGCCCCUCCAGGUCUGCCUUCCACCCCGAGGACCCCCGUGGACAUGGUACCCCAGGAGCUGCCAUCCCCAGGAGAAGAGGUCUACAGGGAGGAAGGAGAACGCAAAAGAUGCGAUGGGGGUGUCUGGGGCUACUGCCUUCCACAGCAGCUCUGCCUGGAGUGCCAGCCCGGGACAGGAAUUGCUGGAGGGGCUCUGACAGACGCAGAGGAUGGAGACUUCAGUGCCAAAGGGUGAGACACACCCCGUGAGAGGCCCAGAGCGAGCGGUAGCACCCCCGACUCCCUGCUGUUUCCAUCCACGGUGCACUAAAUGCCACUGAAUUGUGCGCUCUGGCGCAGCUGAUAACACAGCUAAUGUAUGUGAGCUUCACCGAGGAAUAAAUUUGUGUUUUCAACCACGGUUCCUGGCUCGUAACUCACACGGCCCUGGUUACAGCCUUUUCUUAUCACACUGGGGCAAUUUUCGUCUCAAAGUAGGCCUCAGGAAGCAGAACCUCAAGGCCCUGAUCUGACGGUGGGUCAGAAGACCCUCAUUCCAGGAAGGGUUCUGCCCCAUCCCCUGGAGGAAGAAACGCGGCCGAGAAGCCAAGAAGAAUGUGGUCAGGCGCGGUGGCUCACGCCUAUAAUCCCGGCACUGUGGGAGGCCGAGGCAGGCGGGUCAUUUGAGGUCAGCCUGACCAAUAUGGCAAAACCUCAUCUGUACUGAAAACACAAAAAUUAGUCCGGCAUGGCUACGUGCACGUCUAAUCCCAGCUACUGGGGUGCUGAGGCAGGAGGAUUGCUUGAACUUGGGAGGCGGAGGUUGCAGUGAGCCAAGAUCAUACCACUGCACUCCAGCCUGGGCAACAGAAUAAGACUCCAUCUCAAAAAAGAAAGAAGAAGAAGAAUCUGGACAGACUGGCCCUGCUGGGUUCACACCACACCUGCCUGUCCAGUCGCAUUUCUACACGGCUGUCAAUCAUUCCUGUCCAAUGCUGUCUCCAUCAGAGGCCGAAGAGGACAGGGUUCCGGGAGCAUUCAGAAAGCUGACCACGUGGAGGCUCCCGGAGGGGGUCCCCGGGAGGGCACGGCAGCUCCACACCCAGAGGGGGUCCCCAGGGCACGCACGGCAGCUCCACACCCCUUCCCCGUGCCUCGCCUGUGCAUCUCUUCAUGUGCAUUCUUUUCAAUGUCACUUAUA